AUAAAGAUGGAAUGACUUCUAAUUUUUAGGUCCGUAUGAUUUGAAAUACUUGCACACAAACCACGCAAAACCGUUCCUAGAAAUCUCGGUCGAAAAAAGGACGUUUAGUAAUUCUAAAAGGGACUACAGGAUGAAAAACAAUAGUUUUGGCAGUUAAAGUUUGAGAUUCGAUGGUGCCGUAGAUCCGUUUGGUCAUCAGGUGUUACGAGCCACACCCAUGUCUAGCUAGAGUAGUGUGCUAGGUUCAGACUAGAGAAGAAACGGGGAACAAAGUGAUUAAAGAAUGAUCAUACCGAGGGAAUUCACUCAGAACUAACAAGAAUGAUAACGUGCUCCGACUGGAGCGGUUUAGGAACUGCUGGAAGGCUCUAGGGGAAUAAAGAUGGAAUGACUUCUAAUUUUUACGUCCGUAUGAUUUGAAAUACAUGCACACAAACCACGCAAAAGCGUUCCUGGAAAUCUCAGCCUAAAAAAGGACGUUUAGUAAUUCUAAAAGGGACUACAGGAUGAAAAAUAAUAGUUUGGGCAGUUAAAAUUUGAGAUUCGACGCUGCCGUAGAUCCGUUUGGUCAUCAGGUCUUACGAGCCACACCCAUGUCUAGCUAGAAUAGUGUGUUAGGCUCAGGCUAGAGAAGAAACGGGGAACAAACUGAUGAAAGAAUGAUCAUACCGAGGGAAUUCACUCAGAACUAACAAGAAUGAUAACGUGCUCCGACUGGAGCAGUUUAGAAACUCCUGGAAGGCUCUAGGGGAAUAAAGAUGGAAUGACUUCAAAGUUUUAGGUCCGUAUGAUUUGAAAUACUUGCACACAAACCGCGUGAAAGCGUUCCUGGAAAUCUCAACCCAAAAAAGGGCGUUUAGUAAUUCUAAAAGGGACUACAGGAUGUAAAACAAUAGUUUUGGCAGUUAAAGUUUGAGAUUCGAUGGUGCCGUAGAUCCGUUUGGUCAUCAGGUGUAACGAGCCACACCCAUGUCUAGCUAGAGUAGUGUGCUAGGCUCAGACUAGAGAAGAAACGGGGAACAAAGUGAUGAAAGAAUGAUCAUACCGAGGGAAUUCACUCAUAACUAACAAGAAUGAUAACGUGCUCUGACUUGAGCGGUUUAGGAACUGCUGGAAGGCUAUAGGGGAAUAAAGAUGGAAUGACUUCAAAUUUUUAGGUCCGUAUGAUCUGAAAUACUUGCACACAAACCGCGAGAAAGCGUUCCUGGAAAUCUCAACCCAAAAAAGGACGUUUAGUAAUUCUAAAAGGGACUACAGGAUGAAAAACAAUAGUUCUGGCAGUUAUUGUUUGAGAUUCGAUAAUCUCGUAGAUCCGUUUGGUCAUCAGGUGUAACGAGCCACACCCAUGUCUAGCUAGAGUAGUGUGCUAGGCUCAGACUAGAGAAGAAACGGGGAACAAACUGAUGAAAGAAUGAUCAUACCGAGGGAAUUCACUUAGAACUAACAAGAAUGAUAACGUGCUCCGACUGGAGCGGUUUAGGAACUGCUGGAAGGCUCUAGGGGAAUAAAGAAGGAACGACUUCUAAUUUUUAGGUCCGUAUGAUUUGAAAUAUGUGCACACAAACCACGAGAAAGCGUUCCUAGAAAUCUCGGCCCAAAAGAGGACGUUUAGUAUUCUAAAAGGGACUACAGAAUGAAAAACAAUAGUUUUGGCAGUUAAAGUUUGAGAUUUGACGGUGCCGUAGAUCUGUUUGGUCAUCAGGGGUUACGAGCCACACCCAUGUCUAGCUAGAAUAGUGUGUUAGGCUCAGGCUAGAAAAGAAACGGGGAACAAAGUGAUGAAAGAAUGAUCAUACCGAGGGAAUUCACUCAGAACUAACAAGAAUGAUAACAUGCUCCGACUGGAGCGGUUUAGGAACUGCUGGAAGGCUCUAGGGGAAUAAAGAUGGAAUGACUUCUAAUUUUUAGGUCCGUAUGAUUUGAAAUACUUGCACACAAACCGCGCGAAAGCGUUCCUGGAAAUCUCAGCCCAAAAAAGGACGUUUAGUAAUUCUAAAAGGGACUACAGGAUGAAAAACAAUAGUUUUGGCAGUUAAAGUAUGAGAUUCAACGGUGCCGUAGAUCCGUUUGGUCAUUAGGUGUUACGAGCCACACCCAUGUCUAGCUAGAAUAGUGUGCUAGGCUCAGGCUAGAGAAGAAACGGGGAACAAACUGAUGAAAGAAUGAUCAAACCGAGGGAAUUCACUCAGAACUAACAAUAAUGAUAACGUGCUCCGACUGGAGCGGUUUAGGAACUGCUGGAAGUCUCUAGGGGAAUAAAGAUGGAAUGACUUCUAAUUUUUACGUUCGUAUGAUUUGAAAAACUUGCCCAUAAACCGCGCGAAAGUGUUCCUGGAAAUCUCAGCCCAAAAAAGGACGUUUAGUAAUUUUAAAAGGGACUACACGAUGAAAAACAAUAGUUUUGGCAGGUAAAGUUUGAGAUUCGACAGUGCCGUAGAUCCGUUUGGUCAUCAGGUGUUACGAGCCACACCCAUGUCUAGCUAGAAUAGUAUGUUACGCUCAGGUUAGAGAAGAAACGGGGAACAAACUGAUGAAAGAUGAUCAUACCAAGGGAAUUCACUCAGAACUAACAAGAAUGAUAACGUGCUCCGACUGGAGCGGUUUAGGAACUGCUGGAAGGCUCUAGGGGAAUAAAGAUGGAAUGACUUCUAAUUUUUACGUCUGUAUGAUUUGAAAUACUUGCACACAAACAACGCAAAAGCAUUCCUGGAAAUCUCAUCCUAAAAAAGGACGUUUAGUAAUUCUAAAAGGGACUACAGGAUGAAAAAUAAUAGUUUGGGAAGUUAAAAUUUGAGAUUCGAUAGUGCCGUAGAUCCGUUUGGUCAUCAGGUGUUAGGAGCCACACCCAUGUCUAGCUAGAAUAGUGUGUUAGGCUCAGGCUAGAGAAGAAACAGGGAACAAACUGAUGAAAGAAUGAUCAUACCGAGGGAAUUCACUCAGAACUAGCAAGAAUGAUAACGUGCUCCGACUGGAGCAGUUUUGAAACUGCUGGAAGGCUCUAGGGGAAUAAUGAUGGAAUGACUUCUAAGUUUUUGGUCCGUAUGAUUUGAAAUACGUGCACACAAACCCAGAGAAAGUGUUCUUGGAAAUCUCGGCCGAAAAAAGGAUGUUUAAUAAUUCUAAAAGGGACUACAGGAUGAAAAACAAUAGUUUUGGCAGUUAAAGUUUGUGAUUCGAUGGUGCUGUAGAUCUGUUUGGUCAUCAGGUGUUAUGAGCCACACCCAUGUCUAGCUAGAACAGUGUGUUAGGCUCAGGCUAGAGCAGAAACGGGGAACAAACUUAUGAAAGAAUGAUCAUACCGAGGGAAUUCACUCAGAACUAACAAGAAUGAUAACGUGCUCCGACUGGAGAGGUUUAGGAACUGCUGGAAGGCUCUAGGGGAAUAAAGAUGGAAUGACUUCAAAUUUUUAGGUCUGUAUGAUCUGAAAUACUUGCACACAAACCGCGAGAAAGCGUUCCUGGAAAUCUCAGCCCAAAAAAGGACGUUUAGUGAUUCUAAAAGGGACUACGGGAUAAAAAACAAUAGUUUUGGCAGUUAAAGUUUGAGAUUCGAUAAUGCCGUAGAUCCGUUUGGUCAUCAGGUGUAACGAGCCACACCCAUGUCUAGCUAGAGUAGUGUGCUAGGCUCAUACUAGAGAAGAAAUGGGGAACAAACUGAUGAAAGAAUGAUCAUACCGAGGGAGUUCACUCAAAACUAACAUGAAUGAUAACGUGCUCCGACUGGAGCGGUUUAGGAACUGCUGGAAGGCUCUAGGGGAAUAAAGAUGGAAUGACUUCUAAUUUUUAGGUCCGUAUGAUUUGAAAUACAUGCACACAAACCCCAAGAAAGCGUUCCUGGAAAUCUCGCCCCGAAAAACGACGUUUAGUAAUUCUAAAAGGGACUAUAGGAUGAAAAACAAUAGUUUUGGCAGUUAAAGUUUGAGAUUUGACGGUGCCGUAGAUCUGUUUGGUCAUCAGGUGUUACGAGCCACACCCAUUUCUAGCUAGAAUAGUGUGUUAGGCUCAGGCUAGAAAAGAAACGGGGAACAAAGUGAUGAAAGAAUGAUCAUACCGAGGGAAUUCACUCAGAACUAACAAGAAUGAUAACAUGGUCCGACUGGAGCGGUUUAGGAACUGCUGGAAGGCUCUAGGGGAAUAAAGAUGGAAUGACUUCUAACUUUUAGGUCCGUAUGAUUUGAAUUACUUGCACACAAACCGCGCGAAAGCGUUCCUGGAAAUCUCAGCCCAAAAAAGGACGUUUAGUAAUUCUAAAAGGGACUACAGGAUGAAAAACAAUAGUUUUGGCAGUUAAAGUUUGAGAUUCGACGGUGCCGUAGAUCCGUUUGGUCAGCAGGUGUUACGAGCCACACCCAUGUCUAGCUAGAGUAGUGUGCUAGGUUCAGACUAGAGAAGAAAUGUUGGGGAACGUAGCAGAAAUUCAAAAUUUUCCUACGUGUCACCAAGAUCUAUCUAUGGAGAGACUAGCAACGAGGGAAGGAGAGUGCAUCUACAUACCCUUGUAGAUCGCUAAGCGGAAGCGUUCAAGUGAACGGGGUUGAUGGAGUCGUACUCGUCGUGAUUCAGCUCACCGAUGAUCCUAGUGCCGAACGGACGGCACCUCCGCGUUCAACACACGUACAGCUCGACGAUGUCUCCCACGCCUUGAUCCAGCAAGGAGAGAGGGAGAGGUUGAGGAAGACUCCAUCCAGCAGAAGCACAACGGCGUGGUGGUGAUGGAGGAGCAUGGCAAUCCUGCAGGGCUUCGCCAAGCACCUAUGGGAGAGGAGGAGGUGUCACGGGAGGGAGGGAGGCGCCAAGGGCUCAGGUAUAGAUGCCCUCCCUCCCCUCCACUAUAUAUAGGGGCAAGGGAGAGGGGGGAGGCGCAGCCUUGCCCCUUCCUCCAAGGAAGGGGUGCGGCUAAGAGGGGGGGAGGAGUCCAUCCUCCCCAAGGCACCUCGGAGGUGCCUUCCCCCUUUAGGACUCUCCCCUUUUUCCUAUAUCUUGGCGCAUGGGCCUCUAGGGGCUGGUUCCCUUGGCCCAUGUAGGCCCAGGCGCACCCCCUACAGCCCAUGUGGCCCCCCGGGGCAGGUGGCCCCACCUGGUGGGCCCCCGGGACCCUUCCGGUGGUCCCGGUACAAUACCGAUGACCCCGAAACUUGUCCCGAUGGCCGAAACAGGACUUCCUAUAUAUAAAUCUUUACCUCCGGACAAUUCCGGAACUCCUCGUGACGUCCGGGAUCUCAUCCGGGACUCCGAACAACAUUCGGUAACCACAUACAAACUUCCUUUAUAACCCUAGCGUCAUCGAACCUUAAGUGUGUAGACCCUACGGGUUCGGGAGACAUGUAGUCAUGACCGAGAUGUUCUCCGGUCAAUAACCAACAGCGGGAUCUGGAUACCCAUGUUGGCUCCCACAUGUUCCACGAUGAUCUCAUCGGAUGAACCACGAUGUCAAGGACUCAAUCAAUCCCGUAUACAAUUCCCUUUGUCUAGCGGUAUGGUACUUGCCCGAGAUUCGAUCGUCGGUAUACCGAUACCUUGUUCAAUCUCGUUACCGGCAAGUCUCUUUACUCAUUUCGUAACACAUCAUCCCGUGAUCAACCCCUUGGUCACAUUGUGCACAUUAUGAUGAUGUCCUACCGAGUGGGCCCAGAGAUACCUCUCCGUUUACACGGAGUGACAAAAUCCCAAUCUCGAUUCGUGCCAACCCAACAGACACUUUCAGAGAUACCCGUAGUGUACCUUUACAGCCACCCAGUUACGUUGUGACGUUUGGCACACCCAAAGCACUCCUACAGUAUCCGGGAGUUGCACAAUCUCAUGGUCUAAGGAAAUGAUACUUGACAUUAGAAAAGCUUUAGCAUACGAACUACAUGAUCUUGUGCUAGGCUUAGGAUUGGGUCUUGUCCAUCACAUCAUUCUCCUAAUGAUGUGAUCCCGUUAUCAACGACAUCCAAUGUCCAUGGUCAGGAAACCGUAACCAUCUAUUGAUUAACGAGCUAGUCAACUAGAGGCUUACUAGGGACAUGGUGUUGUCUAUGUAUCCACACAUGUAUCUAAGUUUCCUAUCAAUACAAUUCUAGCAUGGAUAAUAAACGAUUAUCAUGAACAAGGAAAUAUAAUAAUAAUCAAUUUAUUAUUGCCUCUAGGGCAUAUUUCCAACAGUCUCCCACUUGCACUAGAGUCAAUAAUCUAGUUCACAUCGAUAUGUGAUUAACACUCAAGGUCACAUUCCCAUGUGACUAACACCCAAGAGUUUACUAGAGUCAAUAAUCUAGUUCACAUUUACCAUGUGAUUAACACUUGAUGAGUUCUGGGUUUGAUCAUGUUAUGCUUGUGAGAGAGGUUAUAGUCAACGGGUCUGAACCUUUCAGAUCCGUGUGUGCUUUACAAAUCUCUAUGUCAUCUCCUAGAUGCAGCUACCACGUUCUAUUUGGAGCUAUUCCAAAUAACUGUUCUACUUGGAGCUAUUCUAAAUUGUUGCUCCAUUAUACGUAUCCGGUAUCUCUACUCAGAGCUAUCCGGAUAGGUGUUAAGCUUGCAUCGACGUAACCCUUUACGACGAACUCUUUUACCACCUCCAUAAUUGAGAAAAUUCCUUAGUCCACUAGUUACUAAGGAUAACUUUGACCGCUGUCCUGUGAUCCAUUCUUGGAUCACUCUUGUACCCCUUGACUGACUCAUGGUAAAGCACACUUCAGGUGCGGUACACAGCAUAGCAUACUGUAGAGCCUAUGUCUUAAGCAUAGGGGACGACCUUCGUUCCUUUCUCUCUAUUCUGCCAUGGUCGAGCUUUAAGUCUUAACUUCAUACCUUACAACUCAGGCAAGAACUCCUUCUUUGACUGAUCCAUCUUGAACACCUUCAAGAUCACGUCAAGGCAUGUGCUCACGUCAAGAUCACGUCGGUAUACCGAUACCUUGUUCAAUCUCGUUACCGGCAAGUCUCUUUACUCGUUCCGUAACACAUCAUCCCGUGAUCAACCCCUUGGUCACAUUGUGCACAUUAUGAUGAUGUCCUACCGAGUGGGCCCAGAGAUACCUCUCCGUUUACACGGAGUGACAAAAUCCCAAUCUCGAUUCGUGCCAACCCAACAGACACUUUCAGAGAUACCCGUAGUGUACCUUUAUAGCCACCCAGUUACGUUGUGACGUUUGGCACACCCAAAGCACUCCUACGGUAUCCGGGAGUUGCACAAUCUCAUGGUCUAAGGAAAUGAUACUUGACAUUAGAAAAGCUUUAGCAUACGAACUACAUGAUCUUGUGCUAGGCUUAGGAUUGGGUCUUGUCCAUCACAUCAUUCUCCUAAUGAUGUGAUCCCGUUAUCAACGACAUCCAAUGUCCAUGGUCAGGAAACCGUAACCAUCUAUUGAUUAACGAGCCAGUCAACUAGAGGCUUACUAGGGACAUGGUGUUGUCUAUGUAUCCACACAUGUAUCUGAGUUUCCUAUCAAUACAAUUCUAGCAUGGAUAAUAAACGAUUAUCAUGAACAAGGAAAUAUAAUAAUAAUCAAUUUAUUAUUGCCUCUAGGGCAUAUUUCCAACAGUCUCCCACUUGCACUAGAGUCAAUAAUCUAGUUCACAUCACCAUGUGAUUAACACUGACAGGUCACAUCACCAUGUGACCAACAUCCAAAGAGUCUUGGGUUUGAUCAUGUUGCUUGUGAGAGAGGUUAUAGUCAACGGGUCUGAACCUUUCAGAUCCGUGUGUGCUUUACAAAUCUCUAUGUCAUCUCCUAGAUGCAGCUACCACGUUCUAUUUGGAGCUAUUCCAAAUAACUGUUCUACUUGGAGCUAUUCUAAAUUGUUGCUCCAUUAUACGUAUCCGGUAUCUCUACUCAGAGCUAUCCGGAUAGGUGUUAAGCUUGCAUCGACGUAACCCUUUACGACGAACUCUUUUACCACCUCCAUAAUUGAGAAAAUUCCUUAGUCCACUAGUUACUAAGGAUAACUUUGACCGCUGUCCUGCGAUCCAUUCUUGGAUCACCCUUGUACCCCUUGACUGACUCAUGGUAAAGCACACUUCAGGUGCGGUACACAGCAUAGCAUACUGUAGAGCCUAUGUCUUAAGCAUAGGGGAUGACCUUCGUUCCUUUCUCUCUAUUCUGCCAUGGUCGAGCUUUAAGUCUUAACUUCAUACCUUACAACUCAGGCAAGAACUCCUUCUUUGACUGGUCCAUCUUGAACACCUUCAAGAUCAUGUCAAGGUAUGUGCUCAUUUGAAAGUACUAUUAAGCGUUUUGAUCUAUCCUUAUAGAUCUUGAUGCUCAAUGUUCAAGUAGCUUAAUCCAGGUUUUCCAUUGAAAACACUUUCCAAAUAACCCUAUAUGCUUUCCAGAAAUUCUACGUCAUUUCUGAUCAUUAAUAUGUCAACAACAUAUAAUCAUCAGAAAUUCUAUAGUGCUCCCACUCACUUCUUUGGAAAUACAAGUUUCUCAUAAACUUUGUAUACACCCAAAAUCUUUGAUCAUCAUCAAAGCAUACAUUCCAACUCCGAGAUGCUCACUCCAGUCCUCAGAAGGAUUGCUGGAGCUUUGCAUACUUAUUAGCAUAUUUCAGGAUAGACAAAACCUUCCAGUUGUAUCACAUACAACCUUUCCUCAAGAAUCGUCGACGAAACAAUGUUUUGACAUCCUAUCUGCAAGAUUUCAUAAAUAAUGCAGUAAUUGUUAAUAUAAUUCCAACAGACUCUUAGCAUCGCUACGAGUGAGAAAGUCUCAUUGUAGUCAACUCCUUGAACUUGUCAAAAAACAUCUUAACGACAAGUCGAGCUUUCUCAAUGGUGACACUUACCAUCAUUGUCUGUCUUCCUUUCAAAAUCCAUAUGUACCUAACAGCCUUACGACCAUCAAGUAGUUCUUCCAAAGUCUACACUUUGUUUUCAUACAUGGAUCCUCUCUCGGGUUUUAUGGCCAUGAGCCAUUUAUCGGAAUCCGGGCCCACCAUUGCUUCUCCAUAGCUCGUAGGUUCAUUGUUGUCUAGCAACAUGACUUCCAAGACAGGAUUACUGUACCACUCUGAAGUAGUACGUAUCCUUGUCACCCUACGAGGUUUGGGAGUGACUUGAUCUGAAGUUUCAUGAUCACUAUCAUAAGCUUCUACUUCAAUUGGUGUAGGUGCCACAGGAACAACUUCCUGUGCCCUGCUACACACUGGUUGAAGUGAUGGUUCAAUAACCUCAUCAAGUCUCCACCAUCCUCCCACUCAAUUCUUUCGAGAGAAACCUUUCCUCGAGAAAGGACCCAAUUCUAGAAACAAUUCAUAUUGCUUUCGGAUCUGAAUUAGGAAGUAUACCCAACUGUUUUGGGUGUCCUAUGAAGAUGUACUUUAUCCGCUUUGGUUUCGAGCUUAAUCCUGAAACUUUUUCACAUAAGUGUCGCAGCCCCAAACCUUUAAGAAACGACAACUUAGGUUUCUCUAAACCAUAAUUCAUACGGUGUCAUCUCAUCGGAAUUACGUGGUGCCCUAUUUAAAGUGAAUGUGGUUGUCUUUAAUGCCUAACCCAUAAACUAUCGUGGCAGUUCGAUAAGAGACAUCAUGGUAUGCAUCAUAUCCAAUAGGGUGCAACUAUGAUGUUCGGACACACCAUCACACUAUGGUGUUCCAGGCGGUAUUAAUUGUGAAACAAUUUCCACAAUGUCUUAAUUGUGUGCCAAAACUCGUAACUCAGAUACUCAUCUCUAUGAUCAUAUCAUAGACAUUUUAUCCUCUUGUCACAAUGAUCUUCUACUUCACUCUGAAAUUACUUGAACCAUUCAACAAUUCAGACUUGUGUUUCAUCAAGUAAAUAUUCUCAACAUCUACUCGAAUCAUCUGUGAAGUAAGAACAUAACGAUAUUCACUGCAUGCCUCAGCACUCAUUGGACUGCACACAUCAAAAUGUGUUACUUCCAACAAGUUGCUAUCUUGUUCCAUCUUACUGAAAACGAGGCUUUUCAGUCAUCUUGCCCAUGUGGUAUGAUUUGCAUGUCCCAAGUGAUUCAAAAAUCAAGUGAGUCAAAACGGUCCAUUUGCAUGGAGUUUCUUCAUGCAUAUACACCAAUAGACAUGGUUCGCAUGUCUCAAACUUUUCAAAAACGAGUGAGCCCAAAGAUCCAUCAAUAUGGAGCUUCUUCAUGCGUUUUAUACCGAUAUGACUUACGUGGUAGUGCCACAAGUAGGUGGUACUAUCAUUACUAUCUUUUGGCAUGAACAUGUGUAUCACUACGAUCGAGAUUUAAUAAACCAUUCAUUUUAGGUGUAAGACCAUUGAAGGUAUUAUUCAAAUAAACAGAGUAACCAUUAUUCUCCUUAAAUGAAUAACCGUAUUGCGAUAGACGUAAUCCAAUCAUGUCUAUGCUCAACGCAAACACCAAAUAACAAUUAUUUAGGUUUAACACCAAUCUCUUUGGUAGAGGGAGCGUGCGAUGCUUGAUCAUAUCAAGCAUGGAAAAACUUACAACACAUAUCGUCAGCUCACCUUUAGCUAGUCUCUGUUUAUUCCGUAGCCUUUUGUUUCGAGUUACUAACACUUAGCAACCGAACUGGUAUCUAAUACCCUGGUGCUACUAGGAGUACUAGCAAAGUACACAUUAACACAAUGUAUAUCCAAUAUACUUCUAUCGACCUUGCCAGCCUUCUUAUCUACCAAGUAUCUAGGGUAAUUCUGCUCUAGUAGUUGUUCCCCUUAUUACAGAAGCACUUAGUCUCGGGUUUGGGUUUUACCUUGGGUUUCUUCACUAGAGCAGCAGCUGAUUUGCCGUUUCAUGAAGUAUCCCUUCUUGCCCUUGCCCUUCUUGAAACUAGUGGUUCCACCAACCAUCAACAAUUGAUGCUCCUUCUUGAUUUCUACUUUCGCGGUGUCAAACAUCGCGAAUACCUCAAGGAUCAUCAUAUCUAUCCCUGAUAUGUUAUAGUUCAUCAUGAAGCUCUAACAGCUUGGUGGCAAUGACUUUGGAGAACCAUCACUAUCUCAUCUGGAAGAUCAACUCCCACUCGAUUCAAGCGAUUGUUGUACUCAGACAAUCUGAGCACAAGCUCAACGAUUGAGCUUUUCUCCCUUAGUUUGCAGGUUAAGAAAGUCAUCGGAGGUCUUAUACCUCUUGACAUGGGCACGAGCCUGAAAUCCCAAUUUCAGCCCUCAAAACAUCUCAUAUGUUUCGCGAUGUUUCAAAAACGUCUUUGGUGCCUCAACUCUAAACCGUUUAACUGAACUAUCACGUAGUUAUCAAAACGUGUAUGUCAGAUGUUCGCAACAACCACAGACAACGUUCGAGGUUCAGCACACUGAGCGGUGCAUUAAGGACAUAAGCCUUCUAUGAAGCAAUGAGGACAAUCCUCAGUUUACGGACCUAGUCCGCAUAAUUGCUACUAUCAACUUUCAACUAAUUUUUCUCUAGGAACAUAUCUAAACAGUAGAACUAUAGCGUGAGCUACGACAUAAUUUGCAAAAACCUUUUGACUAUGUUCAGGAUAAUUAAGUUCAUCUUAUGAACUCCCACUCAGAUAGACAUCCCUCUAGUCAUCUAAGUGAUUACAUGAUCCGAGUCAAACUAGGCCGUGUCCGAUCAUCACGUGAGACGGACUAGUCAUCAUCGGUGAACAUCUUCAUGUUGAUCGUAUCUUCUAUACGACUCAUGUUCGACCUUUCGGUCUUCGUGUUCCGAGGCCAUGUAUGUACAUGCUAGGCUCGUCAAGUUAACCCUAAGUGUUUCGCGUGUGUAAAUCUGUCUUACACCCGUUGUAUGUGAACGUUAGAAUCUAACACCCGAUCAUCACGUGGUGCUUCGAAACACGAACUGUCGCAACGGUGCACAGUUAGGGGAGAACACUUCUUGAAAUUGUUGUAAGGGAUCAUCUUAUUUACUACCGUCGUUCUAAGCAAAUAAGAUGUAUAAACAUGAUAAACAUCACAUGCAAUCAAAUAGUGACAUGAUAUGGCCAUCAUCACUUUGCUCCUUUUGAUCUCCAUCUUCGGGGCUCCAUGAUCAUCAUCGUCACCGGCAUGACACCAUGAUCUCCAUCAUCAUGAUCUCCAUCAUCGUGUCUUCAUGAAGUUGCCUCGCCAACUAUUACUUCUACUACUAUGGCUAACGGUUAGCAAUAAAGUAAAGUAAUUACAUGACGUUUAAGUUGACACGCAGGUCACAAAUGAAUAAAGACAACUCCUAUGGCUCCUGCCGGUUGUCAUACUCAUCGACAUGCAAGUCGUGAUUCCUAUUACAAGAACAUGAUCAAUCUCAUACAUCACAUAUAUCAUUCAUCACAUCCUUUUUGGCCAUAUCACAUCACAUAGCAUACCCUGCAAAAACAAGUUAGACGUCCUCUAAUUGUUGUUUGCAUGUUUUACGUGGCUGCUAUGGGUUUCUAGCAAGAACGUUUCUUACCUACGCAUGAACAACAACGUGAUAUGCCAAUUGCUAUUUACCCUUCAUAAGGACCCUUUUCAUCGAAUCCGAUCCGACUAAAGUGGGAGAGACAGACACCCGCCAGCCACCUUAUGCAACUAGUGCAUGUUUGUCGGUGGAACCGGUCUCACGUAAGCGUACGUGUAAGGUUGGUCCGGGCCGCUUCAUCCCACGAUGCCGCCGAAUCAAGAUAAGACUAGUAACGGCAAGCAUAUUGAACAAUAUCAACGCCCACAACUACUUUGUGUUCUACUCGUGCAAAGAAUCUACGCAAUAGACCUAGCUCAUGAUGCCACUGUUGGGGAACGUAGCAGAAAUUCAAAAUUUUCCUACGUGUCACCAAGAUCUAUCUAUGGAGAUACUAGCAACGAGGGAAGGAGAGUGCAUCUACAUACCCUUGUAGAUCGCUAAGCGGAAGCGUUCAAGUGAACGGGGUUGAUGGAGUCGUACUCGUCGUGAUUCAGAUCACCGAUGAUCCUAGUGCCGAACGGACGGCACCUCCGCGUUCAACACACGUACAGCUCGACGAUGUCUCCCACGCCUUGAUCCAGCAAGGAGAGAGGGAGAGGUUGAGGAAGACUCCAUCCAGCAGCAGCACAACGGCGUGGUGGUGAUGGAGGAGCGUGGCAAUCCUGCAGGGCUUCGCCAAGCACCUACGGGAGAGGAGGAGGUGUCACGGGAGGGAGGGAGGCGCCAAGGGCUCAGGUAUAGAUGCCCUCCCUCCCCUCCACUAUAUAUAGGGGCAAGGGAGAGGGGGAGGCGCAUCCUUGCCCCUUCCUCCAAGGAAGGGGUGCGGCUAAGAGGGGGGGAGGAGUCCAUCCUCCCCAAGGCACCUCGGAGGUGCCUUCCCCCUUUAGGACUCUCCCCUUUUUCCUAUAUCUUGGCGCAUGGGCCUCUAGGGGCUGGUGCCCUUGGCCCAUGUAGGCCAAGGCGCACCCCCCUACAGCCCAUGUGGCCCCCCGGGGCAGGUGGCCCCACCCGGUGGGCCCCCGGGACCCUUCCGGUGGUCCCGGUACAAUACCGAUGACCCCGAAACUUGUCCCGAUGGCCGAAACAGGACUUCCUAUAUAUAAAUCUUUACCUCCGGACCAUUCCGGAACUCCUCGUGACGUCCGGGAUCUCAUCCGGGACUCCGAACAACAUUCGGUAACCACAUACAAACUUCCUUUAUAACCCUAGCGUCAUCGAACCUUAAGUGUGUAGACCCUACGGGUUCGGGAGACAUGUAGUCAUGACCGAGAUGUUCUCCGGUCAAUAACCAACAGCGGGAUCUGGAUACCCAUGUUGGCUCGCACAUGUUCCACGAUGAUCUCAUCGGAUGAACCACGAUGUCAAGGACUCAAUCAAUCCCGUAUACAAUUCCCUUUGUCUAGCGGUAUGGUACUUGCCCGAGAUUCGAUCGUCGGUAUACCGAUACCUUGUUCAAUCUCGUUACCGGCAAGCCUCUUUACUCGUUCCGUAACACAUCAUCCCGUGAUCAACCCCUUGGUCACAUUGUGCACAUUAUGAUGAUGUCCUACCGAGUGGGCCCAGAGAUACCUCUCCGUUUACACGGAGUGACAAAAUCCCAAUCUCGAUUCGUGCCAACCCAACAGACACUUUCAGAGAUACCCGUAGUGUACCUUUAUAGCCACCCAGUUACGUUGUGACGUUUGGCACACCCAAAGCACUCCUACGGUAUCCGGGAGUUGCACAAUCUCAUGGUCUAAGGAAAUGAUACUUGACAUUAGAAAAGCUUUAGCAUACGAACUACAUGAUCUUGUGCUAGGCUUAGNNNNNNNNNNUGAUCAACCCCUUGGUCACAUUGUGCACAUUAUGAUGAUGUCCUACCGAGUGGGCCCAGAGAUACCUCUCCGUUUACACGGAGUGACAAAAUCCCAAUCUCGAUUCGUGCCAACCCAACAGACAUUUUCAGAGAUACCCGUAGUGUACCUUUAUAGCCACCCAGUUACGUUGUGACGUUUGGCACACCCAAAGCACUCCUACGGUAUCCGGGAGUUGCACAAUCUCAUGGUCUAAGGAAAUGAUACUUGACAUUAGAAAAGCUUUAGCAUACGAACUACAUGAUCUUGUGCUAGGCUUAGGAUUGGGUCUUGUCCAUCACAUCAUUCUCCUAAUGAUGUGAUCCCGUUAUCAACGACAUCCAAUGUCCAUGGUCAGGAAACCGUAACCAUCUAUUGAUUAACGAGCUAGUCAACUAGAGGCUUACUAGGGACAUGGUGUUGUCUAUGUAUCCACACAUGUAUCUGAGUUUCCUAUCAAUACAAUUCUAGCAUGGAUAAUAAACGAUUAUCAUGAACAAGGAAAUAUAAUAAUAAUCAAUUUAUUAUUGCCUCUAGGGCAUAUUUCCAACAAGAAACGGGGAACAAACUGAUGAAAGAAUGAUCAUACCGAGGGAAUUCACUCAGAACUAACAAGAAUGAUAACGUGCUUUGACUGGAGCGGUUUAAAAACUGCUGGAAGGCUCUAGGGGAAUAAAGAUGGAAUGCCUUCAAAUUUCUAGGUCCGUAUGAUUUGAAAUACUUGCACACAAACCGCGCGAAAGCGUUCCUGGAAAUCUCAGCCCAAAAAAGGACGUUUAGUAAUUCUAAAAGGGACUACAGAAUGAAAAACAAUAGUUUUGGCAGUUAAAGUUUGAGAUUCGAUGGUGCCGUAGAUCCGUUUGGUCAUCAGGUGUAACGAGCCACACCCAUGUCUAGCUAGAGUAGUGUGCUAGGCUCAGGCUAGAGAAGAAACGGGGAACAAACUGAUGAAAGAAUGAUCAUACCGAGGGAAUUCACUCAGAACUAACAAGAAUGAUAACGUGCUCCGACUGGAGCGGUUUAGGAACUGCUGGAAGGCUCUAGGGGAAGAAAGAAGGAAUGACUUCUAAUUUUUAGGUCCGUAUGAUUUGAAAUACGUGCACACAAACCGCGCGAAAGCGUUCCUGGAAAUCUCAGCCCAAAAAAGGACGUUUAGUAUUCUAAAAGGGACUACAGAAUGAAAAACAAUAGUUUUGGCAGUUAAAGUUUGAGAUUCGACGGUGCCGUAGAUCCGUUUGGUCAUCAGGUGUUACGAGCCACACCCAUGUCUAGCUAGAAUAGUGUGCNNNNNNNNNNNNNNNNNNNNNNNNNCGUAUGAUUUGAAAUACGUGCACACAAACCGCGCGAAAGCGUUCCUGGAAAUCUCAGCCCAAAAAAGGACGUUUAGUAUUCUAAAAGGGACUACAGAAUGAAAAACAAUAGUUUUGGCAGUUAAAGUUUGAGAUUCGACGGUGCUGUAGAUCCGUUUGGUCAUCAGGUGUUACGAGCCACACCCAUGUCUAGCUAGAAUAGUGUGCUAGGCUCAGGCUAGAGAAGAAAAGGGGAACAAACUAAUGAAAGAAUGAUCAAUACGAGGGAAUUCACUCAGAACUAACAAUAAUGAUAACGUGCUCCGACUGGAGCGGUUUAGGAACUGCUGGAAGGCUCUAGGCGAAUAAAGAUGGAAUGACUUCUAAUUUUUACGUCCGUAUGAUUUGAAAUACUUGCACACAAACCACGCAAAAGCGUUCCUGGAAAUCUCGGCCUAAAAAGGACGUUUAGUAAUUCUAAAAGGGACUACAGGAUGAAAAAUAAUAGUUUGGGCAGUUAAAAUUUGAGAUUCGACGGUGCCGUAGAUCCGUUUGGUCAUCAGGUGUUACGAGCCACACCCAUGUCUAGCUAGAAUAGUGUGUUAGGCUCAGGCUAGAGAAGAAACGAGGAACAAACUGAUGAAAGAAUGAUCAUACCAAGGGAAUUCACUCAGAACUAACAAGAAUGAUAACGUGCUCCGACUGGAGCAGUUUAGAAACUGCUGGAAGGCUCUAGGGGAAUAAAGAUGGAAUGACUUCUGAUUUUUAGGUCCGUAUGAUUUGAAAUACGUGCACACAAACCCCGCGAAAGCGUUCCUGGAAAUCUCAGCCCAAAAAAGGACGUUUAGUAAUUCUAAAAGGGACUACAACAUGAAAAACAAUAGUUUUGGCAGUUAAAGUUUGAGAUUUCAUGGUGCCGUAGAUCUGUUUGGUCAUCAGGUGUUACGAGCCACACCCAUGUCUAGCUAGAAUAGUGUGUUAGGCUCAGGCUAGAAAAGAAACGGGAAACAAAGUGAUGAAAGAAUGACCAUACCGAGGGAAUUCACUCAGAACUAACAAGAAUGAUAACAUGCUCCGACUUGAGCGGUUUAGGAACUGCUGGAAGGCUCUAGGGGAAUAAAGAUGGAAUGACUUCUAAUGUUUAGGUCCGUAUGAUUUGAAAUACUUGCACAUAAACCGCACAAAAGCGUUCCUGGAAAUCUCAGCCCAAAAAAGGACGUUUAGUAAUUCUAAAAGGGACUACAGGAUGAAAAACAAUAGUUUUGGCAGUUAAAGUUUGAGAUUCGACGGUGCCGUAGAUCCGUUUGGUCAUCAGGUGUUACGAGCCACACCCAUGUCUAGCUAGAAUAGUGUGUUAGGCUCAGGCUAGAGAAGAAACUUGGAACAAACUGAUGAAAGAAUGAUCAAACCAACGGAAUUCACUCAGAACUAACAAUAAUGAUAACGUGCUCCGACUGGAGCAGUUUAGGAACUGCUGGAAGGCUCUAGGGGAAUAAAGAUGGAAUGACUUCUAAUUUUUAGGUCCGUAUGAUUUGAAAUACUUGCACGCAAACCGCGCGAAAGCGUUCCUGGAAAUAUCAGCCCAAAAAAGGACGUUUAGUAAUUCUAAAAGGGACUACAGGAUGAAAACAAUAGUUUUGGCAGUUAAAGUUUGAGAUUCAACAGUGCCGUAGAUCCGUUUGGUCAUCAGGUGUUAUGAGCCAUACCCAUGUCUAGCUAGAGUAGUGUGCUAGGCUCAGGCUAGAGAAGAAACAGGGAACAAACUGAUGAAAGAAUGAUCAUACCGAGGGAAUUCACUCAGAACUAACAAGAAUGAUAACGUGCUCCGACUGGAGCGGUUUAGGAACUGCUGGAAGGCUCUAGGGGAAUAAAGAUGGAGUGACUUCUAAAUUUUUAGGUCCGUAUGAUUUAAAAUACUUGCACACAAACCGCACGAAAGCGUUCCUUGAAAUCUCAGCCCAAAAAAGGACGUUUAGUAAGUCUAAAAGGGACUAUAGGAUGAAAAACAAUAGUUUUGGCAGUUAAAGUUUGAGAUUCGAUGGUGCCGUAGAUCUGUUUGGUCAUCAGGUGUUACGAGCCACACCCAUGUCUAGUUGGAAUAGUGUGCUAGGCUCAGACUAGAGAAGAAACAGGGAACAAACUGAUGAAAGAAUGAUCAAACCGAGGAAAUUCACUCAGAACUAACAAUAAUGAUAACAUGCUCCGACUGGAGCGGUUUAGGAACUGCUGGAAGGCUCUAGGGGAAUAAAGAUGGAAUGACUUCUAAAUUUUUAGGUCCGUAUGAUUUGAAAUAGUUGCACACAAACUGCGCGAAAGCGUUCCUGGAAAUCUCAGCCCAAAAAAGGACGUUUAGUAAUUCUAAAAGGGACUAUAGGAUGAAAAACAAUAGUUUUGGCAGUUAAAGUUUGAGAUUCGACGGUGCCGUAGAUCCGUUUGGUCAUCACGUGUUACAAGCCACACCCAUGUCUAGCUAGAGUAGUGUGCUAGGCUCAGACUAUAGAAGAAACGGGGACCAAACUGAUGAAAGAAUGAUCAAACCGAGGAAAUUCACUCAGAACUAACAAUAAUGAUAACAUGCUCCGACUGGAGCGGUUUAGGAACUACUGGAAGGCUCUAGGGGAAUAAAGAUGGAAUGACUUCUAAAUUUUUAGGUCCGUAUGAUUUUAAAUAGUUGCACACAAACUGCGCGAAAGCGUUCCUGGAAAUCUCAGCCCAAAAAAGGACGUUUAGUAAUUCUAAAAGGGACUACAGGAUGAAAAACAAUAGUUUGGGCAGUUAAAAUUUGAGAUUCGACGGUGCCGUAGAUCCGUUUGGUCAUCAGGUGUUACGAGCCACACCCAUGUCUAGCUAGAGUAGUGUGCUAGGCUCAGGCUAGAGAAGAAACAGGGAACAAACUGAUGAAAGAAUGAUCAUACCGAGGGAAUUCACUCAGAACUAACAAGAAUGAUAACGUGCUCUGACUGGAGCGGUUUAAGAACUGUUGGAAGGCUCUAGGGGAAUAAAGAUGGAAUCACUUCAAAUUUUUACGUCCGUGUGAUUUGAAAUACUUGCACACAAACCGCACGAAAGCGUUCCUGGAAAUCUCAGCCCAAAAAAGGACGUUUAGUAAGUCUAAAAGGGACUACACGAUGAAAAACAAUAGUUUUGGCAGUUAAAGUUUGAGAUUCGACAGUGCCGUAGAUCCGUUUGGUCAUCAGGUGUAACGAGCCACACCCAUGUCUAGAUAGAGUAGUGUGCUAGGCUCAAACUAGAGAAGAAACGGGGAACAAACUGAUGAAAGAAUGAUCAUACCGAGGGAAUUCACUCAGAAAUAACAAGAAUGAUAACGUGCUCUGACUGGAGCGGUUUAGGAACUGCUGGAAGGCUCUAGGGGAAUAAAGAAGGAAUGACUUCUAAUUUUUAGGUCCGUAUGAUUUGAAAUACGUGCACACAAACCCCGAGAAAGCGUUCCUGGAAAUCUCGACCCAAAAAAGGACGUUUAGUAAUUCUAAAAGGGACUACGGGAUGAAAAACAAUAGUUUUGGCAGUUAAAGUUUGAGAUUCGAUAAUGCCGUAGAUCCAUUUGGUCAUCAGGUGUAACGAGCCACACCCAUGUCUAGCUAGAGUAGUGUGCUAGGCUCAGACUAGAGAAGAAACAGGGAACAAACUGAUGAAAGAAUGAUCAUAUCGAGGGAAUUCACUCAGAACUAACAAGAAUGAUAACAUGCUCCGACUUGAGCGGUUUAGGAACUGCUGGAAGGCUCUAGGGGAAUAAAGAUGGAAUGACUUCUAAUUUUUAGGUCCGUAUGAUUUGAAAUACUUACACACAAACCACGCGAAAGCGUUCCUGGAAAUCUCAGCCCAAAAAAGGACGUUUAGUAAUUCUAAAAGGGACUACAUGAUGAAAAACAAUAGUUUUCGCAGUUAAAGUUUGAGAUUCGACGGUGCCGUAGAUCCGUUUGGUCAUCAAGUGUUACGAGCCACACCCAUGUCUAGCUAGAAUAGUGUGUUAGGCUCAGCCUAGAGAAGAAACGGGGAACAAACUGAUGAAAGAAUGAUCAUACCGAGGGAAUUCACUCAGAACUUACAAGAAUGAUAACGUGCUCCGACUUGAGCGGUUUAAGAACUGUUGGAAGGCUCUAGGGGAAUAAAGAUGGAAUCACUUCAAAUUUUUACGUCCGUGUGAUUUGAAAUACUUGCACACAAACCCCGAGAAAGCGUUCCUGGAAAUCUCGGCCGAAAAAAGGAUGUUUAAUAAUUCUAAAAGGGACUACAGGAUGAAAAACAAUAGCUUUGGCAGUUAAAGUUUGUGAUUCGAUGGUGCCGUAGAUCUGUUUGGUCAUCAGGUGUUAUGAGCCACACCCAUGUCUAGCUAGAAUAGUGUGUUAGGCUCAGGCUAGAGCAGAAACUAGGAACAAACUUAUGAAAGAAUGAUCAUACCGAGGGAAUUCACUCAGAACUAACAAGAAUGAUAACGUGCUCCGACUGGAGCGGUUUAGGAACUGCUGGAAGGCUCUAGGGGAAUAAAGAUGGAAUGACUUCUAAUUUUUAGGUCCGUAUGAUUUGAAAUACAUGCACACAAACCCCAAGAAAGCGUUCCUAGAAAUCUCAGCCCAAAAAGGACGUUUAGUAAUUCUAAAAGGGACUACAGGAUGAAAAACAAUAGGUUUGGCAGUUAAAGUUUGAGAUUCGAUAAUGCCGUAGAUCCGUUUGGUCAUCAGGUGUAACGAGCCACACCCAUGUCUAGCUACAUUAGUGUGCUAGGCUCAGACUAGAGAAGAAACGGGGAACAAACUGAUGAAAGAAUGAUCAUACCGAGGGAAUUCACUCAGAACUAACAAGAACGAUAACAUGCUCCGACUGCAGCGGUUUAGGAACUGCUGGAAGGCUCUAGGGGAAUAAAGAAGGAAUGACUUCUAAUUUUUAGGUCCGUAUGAUUUGAAAUACUUGCACACAAACCGCGCGAAAGCAUUCCUGGAAAUCUCAGCCCAAAAAAGGACGUUUAGUAAUUCUAAAAGGGACUACAGGAUGAAAAACAAUAAUUUUGGCAGUUAAAGUUUGAGAUUCGACGGUGCCGUAGAUCCGUUUGGUCAUCAGGUGUUACGGGCCAUACCCAUGUCUAGCUAGAAUAGUGUGUUAGGCUCAGGUUAGAGAAGAAACGGGGAACAAAGUGAUGAAAGAAUGAUCAUACCGAGGGAAUUCACUCAGAACUAACAAGAAUGAUAACGUGCUCCGACUGGAGCGGUUUAGGAAUUGCUGGAAGGCUCUAGGGGAAUAAAGAUGGAAUGACUUCUAUAUUUUACGUCCGUAUGAUUUGAAAUACUUGCACACAAACCACGCAAAAGCACUCCUGGAAAUAUCAGCCUAAAAAGGAUGUUUAGUAAUUCUAAAAGGGACUACAGGAUGAAAAAUAAUAGUUUUGGCAGUUAAAAUUUGAGAUUCAACGGUGCCGUAAAUCCGUUUGGUCAUCAGGUGUUACGAGCCACACCCAUGUCUAGCUAGAAUAGUGUGUUAGGCUCAGGUUAGAGAAGAAACGGGGAACAAACUGAUGAAAGAAUGAUCAUACAAGGGGAAUUCACUCAGAACUAUCAAGAAUGAUAACGUGCUCCGACUGGAGCAGUUUAGGAACUGCCGGAAGGCUCUAGGGGAAUAAAGAUGGAAUGACUUCUAAUUUUUAUGUCCGUAUGAUUUGAAAUACUUGCACACAAACCACGCAAAAGCGUUCCUGGAAAUCUCAGCCUAAAAAGGACGUUUAGUAAUUCUAAAAGGGACUACAGGAUGAAAAACAAUAGUUUGGGCAGUUAAAAUUCGAGAUUCGACGGUGCCGUAGAUCCGUUUGGUCAUCAGGUGUUACGAGCCACACCCAUGUCUAGCUAGAAUAGUGUGUUAGGCUCAGGCUAGAGAAGAAACGGGGAACAAACUGAUGAAAGAAUGAUCAUAUCGAGGGAAUUCACUCAGAACUAACAAGAAUGAUAACGUGCUCCGACUGGAGCGGUUUAGUAACUGCUGGAAGGCUCUAGGGGAAUAAAGAUGGAAUGACUUCUAAUUAUUAGGUCCGUAAGAUUUGAAUUACAUGCACACAAACCCCGAGAAAGCGUUCCUGGAAAUCUCGGUCGAAAAAAGGAUGUUUAGUAAUUCUAAAAGGGACUACAGGAUGAAAAACAAUAGUUUUGGCAGUUAAAGUUUGUGAUUCGAUGGUGCCGUAGAUCUGUUUGGUCAUCAGGUGUUACGAGCCACACCCAUGUCUAGCUAGAAUAGUGUGUUAGGCUCAGGCUAGAGCAGAAACGGGGAACAAACUUAUGAAAGAAUGAUCAUGCCGAGGGAAUUCACUCAGAACUAACAAGAAUGAUAACGUGCUCCGACUGGAGCGGUUUAGGAACUGCUGGAAGGCUCUAGGGGAAUAAAGAUGGAAUGACAUCAAAUUUUUAGGUCCGUAUGAUUUGAAAUACUUGCACACAAACCGCAAGAAAGCGUUCUUGGAAAUCUCCGCCCAAAAAAGGACGUUUAGUAAUUCUAAAAGGGUCUACAGGAUGAAAAACAAUAGUUCUGGCAGUUAAAGUUUGAGAUUCGAUAAUGUCGUAGAUCCGUUUGGUCAUCAGGCGUAACGAGCCACACCCAUUUCUAGCUAGAGUAGUGUGCUAGGCUCAGACUAGAGAAGAAACGGGGAACAACCUGAUGAAAGAAUGAUCAUACCGAGGGAAUUCACUCAGAACUAACAAGAAUGAUAACGUGCUCCGACUGGAGCGGUUUAGGAACUGCUGGAAGGCUCUACGGGAAUAAAGAAGGAAUGACUUCUAAUUUUUAGGUCCGUAUGAUUUGAAAUACGUGCACACAAACCCCGAGAAAGCGUUCCUGGAAAUCUCGGCCCAAAAAAGGACGUUUAGUAUUCUAAAAGCGACUACAGAAUGAAAAACAAUAGUUUUGGUAGUUAAAGUUUGAGAUUUAACGGUGCCGUAGAUCUGUUUGGUCAUCAGGUGUUACGAGCCACACCCAUGUCUAGCUAGAAUAGUGUGUUAGGCUCAGGCUAGAUAAGAAACAGGGAACAAAGUGAUGAAAGAAUGAUCAUACCAAGGGAAUUCACUCAGAACUAACAAGAACGAUAACAUGCUCCGACUGGAGUGGUUUAGGAACUGCUGGAAGGCUCUAGGGGAAUAAAGAUGGAAUGACUUCUAAUUUUUAGGUCUGUAUGAUUUGAAAUACUUGCACACAAACCGCACGAAAGCGUUCCUGGAAAUCUCAUCCCAAAAAAGGACGUUUAGUAAUUCUAAAAGGGACUACAGGAUGAAAAACAAUAGUUUUGGCAGUUAAAGUUUGAGAUUCGAUAAUGCUGUAGAUCCGUUUGGUCAUCAGGUGUAACGAGCCACACCCAUGUCUAGCUAGAGUAGUGUGCUAGGCUCAGACUAGAGAAGAAACGGGGAACAAACUGAUGAAAGAAUGAUCAUACCGAGGGAAUUCACUCAGAACUAACAAUAAUGAUAACGUGCUCCGACUGGAGCGGUUUAGGAACUGCUGGAAGGCUCUAGGGGAAUAAAGAUGGAAUGAGUUCUAAUUUUUAGGUCUGUAUGAUUUGAAAUACUUGCACACAAACCGCGUGAAAGCAUUCCUGGAAAUUUCAGCCCAAAAAAGGACGUUUAGUAAUUUUAAAAGGGACUACACGAUGAAAAACAAUAGUUUUGGCAGUUAAAGUUUGAGAUUCGACGGUGCCGUAGAUCCGUUUGGUCAUCAGGUGUUACGAGCCACACCCAUGUCUAGCUAGAAUAGUAUGUUAGGCUCGGGUAAGAGAAGAAACGGGGAACAAACUGAUGAAAGAAUGAUCAUACCAAGGGAAUUCACUCAGAACUAACAAGAAUGAUAACGUGCUCCGACUGGAGCGGUUUAGGAACUGCUGGAAGGCUCUAGGGGAAUAAAGAUGGAAUGACUUCUAAUUUUUACGUUCGUAUGAUUUGAAAUACUUGCACACAAACCACGCAAAAGCGUUCCUGGAAAUCUCAUCCUAAAAAAGGACGUUUAGUAAUUCUAAAAGGGACUACAGGAUGAAAAAUAAUAGUUUGGGCAGUUAAAAUUUGAGAUUCGACGGUGCCGUAGAUCCGUUUGGUCAUCAGGUGUUACGAGCCACACCCAUGUCUAGCUAGAAUAGUGUGUUAGGCUCAGGCUAGAGAAGAAACGGGGAACAAACUGAUGAAAGAAUGAUCAUAUCGAGGGAAUUCACUCAGAACUAACAAGAAUGAUAACGUGCUCCGACUGGAGCAGUUUAGAAACUGCUGGAAGGCUCUAGGGGAAUAAAGAUGGAAUGACUUCUAAUUUUUAGGUCUGUAUGAUUUGAAAUACGUGCACACGAACCCCGAGAAAGCGUUCCUGGAAAUCUCGGCCCAAAAAAGGACGUUUAGUAAUUCUAAAAGGGACUACAGGAUGAAAAACAAUAGUUUUGGCAGUUAAAGUUUGAGAUUCGACGGUGCCGUAGAUCCGUUUGUUCAUCAGGUGUUACGAGCCACACCCAUGUCUAGCUAGAAUAGUGUGUUAGGCUCAGGCUAGAGAAGAAACGGGGAACAAACUGAUGAAAGAAUGAUCAUACCGAGGGAAUUCACUCAGAACUAACAAGAAUGAUAACGUGCUCCGACUGGAGCGGUUUAGGAACUGCUAGAAGGCUCUAGGGGAAUAAAGAAGGAAUGACUUCUAAUUUUUAGGUCCGUAUGAUUUGAAAUACGUGCACACAAACCCCGAGAAAGCGUUCCUGGAAAUCUUGGCCCAAAAAAGGACGUUUAGUAUUCUAAAAGCGACUACAGAAUGAAAAACAAUAGUUUUGCUAGUUAAAGUUUGAGAUUUGAUGGUGCCGUAGAUCUGUUUGGUCAUCAGGUUUUACGAGCCACACCCAUGUCUAGCUAGAAUAGUGUGUUAGGCUCAGGCUAGAAAAGAAACAGGGAAUAAAGUGAUGAAAGAAUGAUCAUACCAAGGGAAUUCACUCAGAACUAACAAGAACGAUAACAUGCUCCGACUGGAGUGGUUUAGAACUGCUGGAAGGCUAAAGGGGAAUAAAGAUGGAAUGACUUCUAAUUUUUAGGUCCGUAUGAUUUGAAAUACUUGCACACAAACCGCACGAAAGUGUUCCUGGAAAUCUCAGCCCAAAAAAGGACGUUUAGUAAUUCUAAAAGGGACUACAGGAUGAAAAACAAUAGUUUUGGCAGUUAAAGUUUGAGAUUCGAUAAUGACGUAGAUCCGUUUGGUCAUCAGGUGUAACGAGCCACACCCAUGUCUAGCUAGAGUAGUGUGCUAGGCUCAGACUAGAGAAGAAACGGGGAACAAACUGAUGAAAGAAUGAUCAUACCGAGGGAAUUCACUCAGAACUAACAAUAAUGAUAACGUGCUCCGACUAGAGCGGUUUAGGAACUGCUGGAAGGCUCUAGGGGAAUAAAGAUGGAAUGACUUCUAAUUUUUAGGUCCCUAUGAUUUGAAAUACUUGCACACAAACCGCGUGAAAGCAUUCCUGGAAAUUUCAGCCCAAAAAAGGACGUUUAGUAAUUUUAAAAGGGACUACACGAUGAAAAAGAAUAGUUUUGGCAGUUAAAGUUUGAGAUUCGACGGUGCCGUAGAUCCGUUUGGUCAUCAGGUGUUACGAGACACACCCAUGUCUAGCUAGAAUAGUAUGUUAGGCUCGGGUUAGAGAAGAAACGGGGAACAAACUGAUGAAAGAAUGAUCAUACCAAGGGAAUUCACUCAGAACUAACAAGAAUGAUAACGUGCUCCGACUGGAGCGGUUUAGGAACUGCUGGAAGGCUCUAGGGGAAUAAAGAUGGAAUGACUUCUAAUUUUUACGUUCGUAUGAUUUGAAAUACUUGCAAACAAACCACGCAAAAGCGUUCCUGGAAAUUUCAUCCUAAAAAAGGACGUUUAGUAAUUCUAAAAGGGACUACAGGAUGAAAAAUAAUAGUUUGGGCAGUUAAAAUUUGAGAUUCGAUGGUGCCGUAGAUCCGUUUGGUCAUCAGGUGUUACGAGCCACACCCAUGUCUAGCUAGAAUAGUGUGUUAGGCUCAGGCUAGAGAAGAAACGGGGAACAAACUGAUGAAAGAAUGAUCAUAUCGAGGGAAUUCACUCAGAACUAACAAGAAUGAUAACGUGCUCCGACUGGAGCAGUUUAGAAACUGCUGGAAGGCUCUAGGGGAAUAAAGAUGGAAUGACUUCUAAUUUUUAGGUCUGUAUGAUUUGAAAUACGUGCACACAAACCCCGAGAAAGCGUUCCUGGAAAUCUCGUCCGGAAAAAGGAUGUUUAAUAAUUCUAAAAGGGACUACAGGAUGAAAAACAAUAGUUUUGGCAGUUAAAGUUUGUGAUUCGAUGGUGCCGUAGAUCUGUUUGGUCAUCAGGUGUUACGGGCCACACCCAUGUCUAGCUAGAAUAGUGUGUUAGGCUCAGGCUAGAGCAGAAACGGGGAGCAAACUUAUGAAAGAAUGAUCAUAGCGAGGGAAUUUACUCAGAACUAACAAGAAUGAUAACGUGCUCCGACUGGAGCGGUUUAGGAACUGCUGGAAGGCUCUAGGGGAAUAAAGAUGGAAUGACUUCAAAUUUUCAGGUAUGUAUGAUCUGAAAUACUUGCACACAAACCGCGAGAAAGCGUUCCUGGAAAUCUCAACCCAAAAAAGGAUGUUUAGUAAUUCUAAAAGGGACUACAGGAUUAAAAACAAUAGUUUUGGCAGUUAAAGUUUGAGAUUCGAUAAUGUCGUAGAUCCGUUUGGUCAUCAGGUGUAACGAGCCACACCCAUGUCUAGCUAGAGUAGUGUGCUAGGCUCAUACUAGAGAAGAAACGGGGAACAAACUGAUGAAAGAAUGAUCAUACCGAGGGAAUUCACUCAGAACUAACAAGAAUGAUAACGUGCUCCGACUGGAGCGGUUUAGGAACUGCUGGAAGGCUCUAGGGGAAUAAAGAUGGAAUGACUUCUUAUUUUUAGGUCCGUAUGAUUUGAAAUACAUGCACACAAACCCCAAGAAAGCGUUCCGGGAAAUCUCGGCCCAAAGAAUGAUGUUUAGUAAUUCUAAAAGGGACUAUAGAAUGAAAAACAAUAGUUUUGGCAGUUAAAGUUUGAGAUUUGACGGUGUCGUAGAUCUGUUUGGUCAUCAGGUGUUACGAGCCACACCCAUUUCUAGCUAGAAUAGUGUGUUAGGCUCAGGCUAGAAAAGAAACGGGGAACAAAGUGAUGAAAGAAUGAUCAUACCGAGGGAAUUCACUCAGAACUAACAAGAAUGAUAACAUGCUCCGACUAGAGCGGUUUAGGAACUGCUGGAAGGCUCUAGGGGAAUAAAUAUGGAAUGACUUCUAAUUUUCAGGUCCGUAUGAUUUGAAAUACUUGCACACAAACCGCGCGAAAGCGUUCCUGGAAAUCUCAUCCCAAAGAAGGUCGUUUAGUAAUUCUAAAAGGGACUACAGGAUGAAAAACAAUAGUUUUGGCAAUUUAAGGUUUGAGAUUCGACGGUGCCGUAGAUCCGUUUGGUCAUCAGGUGUUACGAGCCACACCCAUGUCUAGCUAGAAUAGUGUGCUAGGCUCAGGCUAGAGAAGAAACAGGGAACAAACUGAUGAAAGAAUGAUCAAACCGAGGGAAUUCACUCAGAACUAACAAUAAUGAUAACGUUCUCCGUCUGGAGCGGUUUAGGAACUGCUGGAAGGCUCUAGGGGAAUAAAGAUGGAAUGACUUCUAAUUUUUAGGUCCGUAUGAUUUGAAAUACUUGCACACAAACCGCGCCAAAUCGUUCCUGGAAAUCUCAGCCCAAAAAAGGACGUUUAGUAAUUCUAAAAGGGACUACAGGAUGAAAAACAAUAGUUUUGGCAGUUAAAGUUUGAGAUUCGAUGGUGCCGUAGACCCGUUUGGUCAUCAGGUGUUACGAGCCACACCCAUGUCUAGCUAGAGUAGUGUGCUAGGUUCAGACUAGAGAAGAAACAGGGAACAAAGUGAUGAAAGAAUGAUCAUACCGAGGGAAUUCACUCAGAACUAACAAGAAUGAUAACGUGCUCCGACUGGAGCGGUUUAGGAACUGCUGGAAGGCUCUAGGGGAAUAAAGAUGGAAUGACUUCUAAUUUUUACGUCCGUAUGAUUUGAAAUACUUGCACACAAACCACGCAAAAGCGUUCCUGGAAAUCUCAGCCUAAAAAAGGACGUUUAGUAAUUCAAAAAGGGACUACAAAAUGAAAAACAAUAGUUUUGGCAGUUAAAGUUUGAGAUUCGAUGGUGCCGUAGAUCCGUUUGGUCAUCAGGUGUUACGAGCCACACCCAUGUCUAGCUAGGAUAGUGUGUUAGGCUCAGGCUAGAGAAGAAACGGGGAACAAACUGAUGAAAGAAUGAUCAUACCGAGGGAAUUCACUCAGAACUAACAAGGAUGAUAACAUGCUCCGACUAGAGCGGUUUAGGAACUGCUGGAAGGCUCUAGGGGAAUAAAGAUGGAAUGACUUCUAAUUUUUAGGUCCGUAUGAUUUGAAAUACUUGCACACAAACCGCAAGAAAGCGUUCCUGGAAAUCUCAGCCCAAAAAAGGACGUUUAGUAAUUCUAAAAGGGACUACAGGAUGAAAAACAAUAGUUCUGGCAGUUAAAGUUUGAGAUUCGAUAAUGCCGUAGAUCUGUUUGGUCAUCAGGUGUAACGAGCCACACCCAUGUCUAGCUAGAGUAGUGUGCUAGGCUCAGACUAGAGAAGAAACGGGGAACAAACUGAUGAAAGAAUGAUUAUACCGAGGGAAUUCACUCAGAACUAACGAGAAUGAUAACGUGCUCCGACUGGAGCGGUUUAGGAACUGCUGGAAGGCUCUAGGGGAAUAAAGAUGGAAUGACUUCAAAUUUUUAGGUCUGUAUGAUUUGAAAUACUUGCACACAAACCGCAAGAAAGCGUUCCUUGAAAUCUCAGCCCAAAAAAGGACGUUUAGUAAUUCUAAAAGGGACUACAGGAUGAAAAACAAUAGUUCUGGCAGUUAAAGUUUGAGAUUCGAUAAUGUCGUAGAUCCGUUUGGUCAUCAGGUGUAACGAGCCACACCCAUGUCUAGCUAGAGUAGUGUGCUAGGCUCAGAAUAGAGAAGAAACGGGGAACAAACUGAUGAAAGAAUGAUCAUACCGAGGGAAUUCACUCAGAACUAACAAGAAUGAUAACGUGCUCCGACUGGAGCGGUUUAGGAACUGCUGGAAGGCUCUAGGGGAAUAAAGAAGGAAUGACUUCUAAUUUUUAGGUCCGUAUGAUUUGAAAUACGUGCACACAAACCGCGCGAAAGCGUUCCUGGAAAUCUCAGCCAAAAAAAGGACGUUUAGUAUUCUAAAAGGGACUACAGAAUGAAAAACAAUAGUUUUGGCAGUUAAAGUUUGAGAUUCGACGGUGCUGUAGAUCCGUUUGGUCAUCAGGUGUUACGAGCCACACCCAUGUCUAGCUAGAAUAGUGUGCUAGGCUCAGGCUAGAGAAGAAAAGGGGAACAAACUAAUGAAAGAAUGAUCAAUCCGAGGGAAUUCACUCAGAACUAACAAUAAUGAUAACGUGCUCCGACUGGAGCGGUUUAGGAACUGCUGGAAGGCUCUAGGCGAAUAAAGAUGGAAUGACUUCUAAUUUUUACGUCCGUAUGAUUUGAAAUACUUGCACACAAACCACGCAAAAGCGUUCCUGGAAGUCUCGGCCUAAAAAGGACGUUUAGUAAUUCUAAAAGGGACUACAGGAUGAAAAAUAAUAGUUUGGGCAGUUAAAAUUUGAGAUUCGACGGUGCCGUAGAUCCAUUUGGUCAUCAAGUGUUACGAGCCACACCCAUGUCUAGCUAGAAUAGUGUGUUAGGCUCAGGCUAGAGAAGAAACGGGGAACAAACUGAUGAAAGAAUGAUCAUACCAAGGGAAUUCACUCAGAACUAACAAGAAUGAUAACGUGCUCCGACUGGAGCAGUUUAGAAACUGCUGGAAGGCUCUUGGGGAAUAAAGAUGGAAUGACUUCAAAUUUUUAGGUCCGUAUGAUUUGAAAUACUUGCACACAAACCACGCGAAAGCGUUCCUGGAAAUCUCAGCCCAAAAAAGGACGUUUAGUAAUUCUAAAAGGGACUACAUGAUGAAAAACAAUAGUUUUGGCAGUUAAAGUUUGAGAAUCGUCGGUGCCGUAGAUCCGUUUGGUCAUCAGCUGUAACGAGCCACACCCAUGUCUAGCUAGAGUAGUGUGCUAGGCUCAGACUAGAGAAGAAACAGGGAACAAAGUGAUGAAAGAAUGAUCAUACCGAGGGAAUUCACUUAGAACUAACAAGAAUGAUAACAUGCUCCGACUUGAGCGAUUUAGGAACUUCUGGAAGGCUCUAGGGGAAUAAAGAUGGAAUGACUCAAAUUUUUAGGCCCGUAUGAUUUGAAAUACAUGCACACAAACCGCGAGAAAGUGUUCCUGGAAAUCUUAGCCCAAAAAAGGACGUUUAGUAAUUCUAAAAGGGACUACAGGAUGAAAAACAAUAGUUUUGGUAGUUAAAGUUUCAGAUUCGAUAAUGCCCUAGAUCCGUUUGGUCAUCAGGUGUAACGAGCCACACCAAUGUCUAGCUAGAGUAGUGUGCUAGGCUCAGACUAGAUAAGAAACGGGGAAGAAACUGAUGAAAGAAUGAUCAGACCGAGGGAAUUCACUCAGAACUAACAAUAAUGAUAACGUGCUCCGAGUGGAGCGGUUUAGGAACUGCUGGAAGGCUCUAGGGGAAUAAAGAUGGAAUGACUUCUAAUUUUUAGGUCCGUAUGAUUUGAAAUACGUGCACACAAACCCCGAGAAACCGUUCCUUGAAAUCUCGGCCCAAAAAAGGACGUUUAGUAAUUCUAAAAGGGACUACAAAAUGAAAAACAAUAGUUUUGGCAGUUAAAGUUUGAGAUUCGACGGUGUCGUAGACCCGUUUGGUCUUCAGGUGUUACGAGCCACACCCAUGUCUAGCCAGAGUAGUGUGCUAGGUUCAGACUAGAGAAGAAACGGGGAACAAAGUGAUGAAAGAAUGAUCAUACCGAGGGAAUUCACUCAGAACUAACAAGAAUGAUAACGUGCUCCGACUGGAGCGGGUUAGGAACUCCUGGAAGGCUCUAGGGGAAUAAAGAUGGAAUGACUUCUAAUUUUUACGUCCGUAUGAUUUGAAAUACUUGCACACAAACCACGCAAAAGCGUUCCUGGAAAUCUCAGCCUAAAAAAGGACGUUUAGUAAUUCUAAAAGGGACUACAGGAUGAAAAAUAAUAGUUUGGUCAUCAGGUGUUACGAGCCACACCCAUGUCUAGCUAGAAUAGUGUGCUAGGCUCAGGCUAGAGAAGAAACGGGGAAUAAACUGAUGAAAGAAUGAUCAAACCGAGGGAAUUCACUCAGAACUAACAAUAAUGAUAACGUUCUCCGUCUGGAGCGGUUUAGGAACUGCUGGAAGGCUCUAGGGGAAUAAAGAUGGAAUGACUUCUAAUUUUUAGGUCCGUAUGAUACGAAAUACUUGCACACAAACCGCGCGAAAUCGUUCCUGGAAAUCUCAGCCCAAAAAAGGACGUUUAGUAAUUCUAAAAGGGACUACAGCAUGAAAAACAAUAGUUCUGGCAGUUAAAGUUUGAGAUUCGAUAAUGCCGUAGAUCCGUUUGGUCAUCAGGUGUAACGAGCCACACCCAUGUCUAGCUAGAGUAGUAUGCUAGGCUCAGACUAGAGAAGAAACGGGGAACAAACUGAUGAAAGAAUGAUUAUACCGAGGGAAUUCACUCAGAACUAACAAGAAUGAUAACGUGCUCCGGCUGGAGCGGUUUAGGAACUGCUAGAAGGCUCUAGGGGAAUAAAGAUGGAAUGACUUCAAAUUUUUAGGUCUGUAUGAUUUGAAAUACUUGCACACAAACCGCAAGAAAGCGUUCCUGGAAAUCUCAGCCCAAAAAAGGACGUUUAGUAAUUCUAAAAGGGACUAUAGGAUGAAAAACAAUAGUUCUGGUAGUUAAAGUUUGAGAUUCGAUAAUGUCAUAGAUCCGUUCGGUCAUCAGGUGUAACGAGCCACACCCAUGUCUAGCUAGAGUAGUGUGCUAGGCUCAGACUAGAGAAGAAACGGGGAACAAACUGAUGAAAGAAUGAUCAUACCGAGGGAAUUCACUCAGAACUAACAAGAAUGAUAACGUGCUCCGACUGGAGCGGUUUAGGAACUGCUGGAAGGCUCUAGGGGAAGAAAGAAGGAAUGACUUCUAAUUUUUAGGUCCGUAUGAUUUGAAAUACGUGCACACAAACCGCGCGAAAGCGUUCCUGGAAAUCUCAGCCCAAAAAAGGACGUUUAGUAUUCUAAAAGGGACUACAGAAUGAAAAACAAUAGUUUUGGCAGUUAAAGUUUGAGAUUCGACGGUGCCGUAGAUCCGUUUGGUCAUCAGGUGUUACGAGCCACACCCAUGUCUAGCUAGAAUAGUGUGCUAGGCUCAGGCUAGAGAAGAAAAGGGGAACAAACUGAUGAAAGAAUGAUCAAACCGAGGGAAUUCACUCAGAACUAACAAUAAUGAUAACGUGCUCCGACUGGAGCGGUUUAGGAACUGCUGGAAGGCUCUUGGCGAAUAAAGAUGGAAUGACUUCUAAUUUUUACGUCCGUAUGAUUUGAAAUACUUCCACACAAACCAGGCAAAGGCGUUCCUGGAAAUCUCGGCCUAAAAAGGACGUUUAGUAAUUCUAAAAGGGACUACAGGAUGAAAAAUAAUAGUUUGGGCAGUUAAAAUUUUAGAUUCGACGGUGCCGUAGAUCCGUUUGGUCAUCAGGUGUUACGAGCCACACCCAUGUCUAGCUAGAAUAGUGUGUUAGGCUCAGGCUAGAGAAGAAACGGGGAACAAACUGAUGAAAGAAUGAUCAUACCAAGGGAAUUCACUCAGAACUAACAAGAAUGAUAACGUGCUCCGACUGGAGCAGUUUAGAAACUACUGGAAGGCUCUAGGGGAAUAAAGAUGGAAUGACUUCAAAUUUUUAGGUCCGUAUGAUUUGAAAUACUUGCACACAAACCGCGCGAAAGCGUUCCUGGAAAUCUCAGCCCAAAAAAGGACGUUUAGUAAUUCUAAAAGGGACUACAUGAUGAAAAACAAUAGUUUUGGCAGUUAAAGUUUGAGAUUCGUCGGUGCCGUAGAUCCGUUUGGUCAUCAGCUGUAACGAGCCACACCCAUUUCUAGCUAGAGUAGUGUGCUAGGCUCAGACUAAAGAAGAAAUGGGGAACAAAGUGAUGAAAGAAUGCUCAUACCGAGGGAAUUCACUCAGAACUAACAAGAAUGAUAACAUGCUCCGACUUGAGCGAUUUAGGAACUUCUGGAAGGCUCUAGGGGAAUAAAGAUGGAAUGACUCAAAUUUUUAGGUCCGUAUGAUUUGAAAUACUUGCACACAAACCGCGAGAAAGCGUUCCUGGAAAUCUCAGCCCAAAAAAGGACGUUUAGUAAUUCUAAAAGGGACUACAUGAUGAAAAACAAUAGUUUUGGCAGUUAAAGUUUGAGAUUUGAUAAUGCCGUAGAUCCGUUUGGUCAUCAGGUGUAACGAGCCACACCCAUGUCUAGCUAGAGUAGUGUGCUAGGCUAAGACUAGAUAAGAAAAGGGGAAGAAACUUAUGAAAGAAUGAUCAGACCGAGGGAAUUCACUCAGAACUAACAAUAAUGAUAACGUGCUCCGACUGGAGCGGUUUAGGAACUGCUGGAAGGCUCUAGGGGAAUAAAGAUGGAAUGACUUCUAAUUUUUAGGUCCGUAUGAUUUGAAAUACGUGCACACAAACCCCGAGAAACCGUUCCUGGAAAUCUCGGCCCAAAAAAGGAUGUUUAGUAAUUCUAAAAGGGACUACAAAAUGAAAAACAAUAGUUUUGGCAGUUAAAGUUUGAGAUUUGAUGGUGCCGUAGAUCUGUUUGGUCAUCAGGUGUUACGAGCCACACCCAUGUCUAGCUAGAAUAGUGUGUUAGGCUCAGGCUAGAAAAGAAACGGGAAACAAAGUGAUGAAAGAAUGAUCAUACCGAGGGAAUUCACUCAGAACUAACAAGAAUGAUAACAUGCUCUGACUGGAGCGGUUUAGGAACUGCUGGAAGGCUCUAGGGGAAUAAAGAUGGAAUGACUUCUAAUGUUUAGGUCCGUAUGAUUUGAAAUACUUGCACAUAAACCGCGCAAAAGCGUUCCUGGAAAUCUCAGCCCAAAAAAGGACGUUUAGUAAUUCUAAAAGGGACUACAGGAUGAAAAACAAUAGUUUUGGCAGUUAAAGUUUGAGAUUCGACGGUGCCGUAGAUCCGUUUGUUCAUCAGGUGUUACGAGCCACACCCAUGUCUAGCUAGAAUAGUGUGUUAGGCUCAGGCUAGAGAAGAAACGGGGAACAAACUGAUGAAAGAAUGAUCAAACCGAGGGAAUUCACUCAGAACUAACAAUAAUGAUAACGUGCUCCGACUAGAGCGGUUUAGGAACUGCUGGAAGGCUCUAGGGGAAUAAAGAUGGAAUGACUUCUAAUUUUUAGGUCUGUAUGAUUUGAAAUACUUGCACGCAAACCGCGCGAAAGCGUUCCCGGAAAUAUCAGCCUAAAGAAGGACGUUUAGUAAUUCUAAAAGGGACUACAGGAUGAAAAACAAUAGUUUUGGCAGUUAAAGUUUGAGAUUCAACGGUGCCGUAGAUCCGUUUGGUCAUCAGGUGUUACGAGCCACACCCAUGUCUAGCUAGAGUAGUGUGCUAGGCUCAGGCUAGAGAAGAAACAGGGAACAAACUGAUGAAAGAAUGAUCAUACCGAGGGAAUUCACUCAGAACUGAUGAAAGAAUGAUCAAACCAAGGAAAUUCACUCAGAACUAACAAUAAUGAUAACAUGCUCCGACUGGAGCGGUUUAGGAACUGCUGGAAGGCUCUAGGGGAAUAAAGAUGGAAUGACUUCUAAUUUUUAGGUCCGUAUGAUUUGAAAUACGUGCACACAAACCCCGAGAAACCGUUCCUGGAAAUCUCGGCCCAAAAAAGGACGUUUAGUAAUUCUAAAAGGGACAACAAAAUGAAAAACAAUAGUUUUGGCAGUUAAAGUUUGAGAUUCGACGGUGCCGUAGACCCGUUUGGUCAUCAGGUGUUACGAGCCACACCCAUGUCUAGCUAGAGUAGUGUGCUAGGUUCAGACUAGAGAAGAAACGGGGAACAAAGUGAUGAAAGAAUGAUCAUACCGAGGGAAUUCACUCAGAACUAACAAGAAUGAUAACGUGCUCCGACUGGAGCGGGUUAGGAAUUGCUGGAAGGCUCUAGGGGAAUAAAGAUAGAAUGACUUCUAAUUUUUACGUCCGUAUGAUUUGAAAUACUUGCACACAAACCACGCAAAAGCGUUCCUAGAAAUCUCAGCCUAAAAAAGGACGUUUAGUAAUUCUAAAAGGGACUACAGGAUGAAAAAUAAUAGUUUGGCCAGUUAAAAUUUAAGAUUCGACGGUGCCGUAGAUCCGCUUGGUCAUCAGGUGUUACGAGCCACACCCAUGUCUAGCUAGAAUAGUGUGUUAGGCUCAGGCUAGAGAAGAAACGGGGAACAAACUGAUGAAAGAAUGAUCAUACCGAGGGAAUUCACUCAGAACUAACAAGAAUGAUAACAUGCUCCGACUGGAGCGGUUUAGGAACUGCUGGAAGGCUCUAGGGGAAUAAAGAUGGAAUGACUUCUAAUUUUUAGGUCCGUAUGAUUUGAAAUACUUGCACACAAACCGCAAGAAAGCGUUCCUGGAAAUCUCAGCACAAAAAAGGACGUUUAGUAAUUCUAAAAGGGACUACAGCAUGAAAAACAAUAGUUCUGGCAGUUAAAGUUUGAGAUUCGAUAAUGCCGUAGAUCCGUUUGGUCAUCAGGUGUAACGAGCCACACCCAUGUCUAGCUAGAGUAGUGUGCUAGGCUCAGACUAGAGAAGAAACGGGGAACAAAAUGAUGAAAGAAUGAUUAUACCGAGGGAAUUCACUCAGAACUAACAAGAAUGAUAACGUGCUCCGACUGGAGCGGUUUAGGAACUGCUGGAAGGCUCUAGGGGAAUAAAGAUGGAAUGACUUCAAAUUUUUAGGUCUGUAUGAUUUGAAAUACUUGCACACAAACCGCAAGAAAGCGUUCCUGGAAAUCUCAGCCCAAAAAUGGACGUUUAGUAAUUCUAAAAGGGACUAUAGGAUGAAAAACAAUAGUUCUGGCAGUUAAAGUUUGAGAUUCGAUAAUGUCGUAGAUCCGUUCGGUCAUCAGGUGUAACGAGCCACACCCAUGUCUAGCUAGAGUAGUGUGCUAGGCUCAGACUAGAGAAGAAACGGGGAACAAACUGAUGAAAGAAUGAUCAUACCGAGGGAAUUCACUCAGAACUAACAAGAAUGAUAACGUGCUCCGACUGGAGCGGUUUAGGAACUGCUGGAAGGCUCUAGGGGAAGAAAGAAGGAAUGACUUCUAAUUUUUAGGUCCGUAUGAUUUGAAAUACGUGCACACAAACCGCGCGAAAGCGUUCCUGGAAAUCUCAGCCCAAAAAAGGACGUUUAGUAUUCUAAAAGGGACUACAGAAUGAAAAACAAUAGUUUUGGCAGUUAAAGUUUGAGAUUCGACGGUGCCGUAGAUCCGUUUGGUCAUCAGGUGUUACGAGCCACACCCAUGUCUAGCUAGAAUAGUGUGCCAGGCUCAGGCUAGAGAAGAAAAGGGGAACAAACUGAUGAAAGAAUGAUCAAACCGAGGGAUUUCACUCAGAACUAACAAUAAUGAUAACGUGCUCCGACUGGAGCGGUUUAGGAACUGCUGGAAGGCUCUAGGCGAAUAAAGAUGGAAUGACUUCUAAUUUUUACGUCCGUAUGAUUUUAAAUACUUGCACACAAACCACGCAAAAGCGUUCCUGGAAAUCUCGGCCUAAAAAGGACGUUUAGUAAUUCUAAAAGGGACUACAGGAUGAAAAAUAAUAGUUUGGGCAGUUAAAAUUUGAGAUUCGACGGUGCCGUAGAUCCGUUUGGUCAUCAGGUGUUACGAGCCACACCCAUGUCUAGCUAGAAUAGUGUGUUAGGCUCAGGCUAGAGAAGAAACAGGGAACAAACUGAUGAAAGAAUGAUCAUACCAAGGGAAUUCACUCAGAACUAACAAGAAUGAUAACGUGCUCCGACUGGAGCAGUUUAGAAACUGCUGGAAGGCUCUAGGGGAAUAAAGAUGGGAUGACUUCAAAUUUUUAGGUCCGUAUGAUUUGAAAUACUUGCACACAAACCGCGCGAAAGCGUUCCUGGAAAUCGCAGCCCAAAAAAGGACGUUUAGUAAUUCUAAAAGGGACUACAUGAUGAAAAACAAUAGUUUUGGCAGUUAAAGUUUGAGAUUCGUCGGUGCCGUAGAUCCGUUUGGUCAUCAGCUGUAACGAGCCACACCCAUGUCUAGCUAGAGUAGUGUGCUAGGCUCAGACUAGAGAAGAAAUGGGGAAAAAAGUGAUGAAAGAAUGAUCAUACCGAGGGAAUUCACUCAGAACUAACAAGAAUGAUAACAUGCUCCGACAUGAGCGAUUUAGGAACUUCUGGAAGGCUCUAGGGGAAUAAAGAUGGAAUGACUCAAAUUUUUAGGUCCGUAUGAUUUGAAAUACUUGCACACAAACCGCGAGAAAGCGUUCCUGGAAAUCUCAGCCCAAAAAAGGACAUUUAGUAAUUCUAAAAGGGACUACAGGAUGAAAAACAAUAGUUUUGGCAGUUAAAGUUUGAGAUUUGAUAAUGCCGUAGAUCCGUUUGGUCAUCAGGUGUAACGAGCCACACCCAUGUCUAGCUAGAGUAGUGUGCUAGGCUAAGACUAGAUAAGAAACCGGGAAGAAACUAAUGAAAGAAUGAUCAGACCGAGGGAAUUCACUCAGAACUAACAAUAAUGAUAACGUGCUCCGACUGGAGCGGUUUAGGAACUGCUGGAAGGCUCUAGGGGAAUAAAGAUGAAAUGACUUCUAAUUUUUAGGUUCGUAUGAUUUGAAAUACAUGCACACAAACCCCGAGAAACCGUUCCUGGAAAUCUCGGCCCAAAAAAGGAUGUUUAGUAAUUCUAAAAGGGACUACAAAAUGAAAAACAAUAGUUUUGGUAGUUAAAGUUUGAGAUUUGAUGGUGCCAUAGAUCUGUUUGGUCAUCAGGUGUUACGAGCCACACCCAUGUCUAGCUAGAAUAGUGUGUUAGGCUCAGGCUAGAAAAGAAACGGGAAACAAAGUGAUGAAAGAAUGAUCAUACCGAGGGAAUUCACUCAGAACUAACAAGAAUGAUAACAUGCUCUGACUGGAGCGGUUUAGGAACUGCUGGAAGGCUCUAGGGGAAUAAAGAUGGAAUGACUUCUAAUGUUUAGGUCCGAGGUCCGUAUGAUUUGAAAUACUUGCACAUAAACCGUGCAAAAGCGUUCCUGGAAAUCUCAGCCCAAAAAAGGACGUUUAGUAAUUCUAAAAGGGACUACAGGAUGAAAAACAAUAGUUUUGGCAGUUAAAGUUUGAGAUUCGACGGUGCCGUAGAUCCGUUCGUUCAUCAGGUGUUACGAGCCACACCCAUGUCUAGCUAGAAUAGUGUGUUAGGCUCAGGCUAGAGAAGAAACGGGGAACAAACUGAUGAAAGAAUGAUCAAACCGAGGGAAUUCACUCAGAACUAACAAUAAUGAUAACGUGCUCCGACUAGAGCGGUUUAGGAACUGCUGGAAGGCUCUAGGGGAAUAAAGAUGGAAUGACUUCUAAUUUUUAGGUCUGUAUGAUUUGAAAUACUUGCACGCAAACCGCGCGAAAGCGUUCCCGGAAAUAUCAGCCCAAAAAAGGACGUUUAGUAAUUCUAAAAGGGACUACAGGAUGAAAAACAAUAGUUUUGGCAGUUAAAGUUUGAGAUUCAACGGUGCCGUAGAUCCGUUUGGUCAUCAGGUGUUACGAGCCACACCCAUGUCUAGCUAGAGUAGUGUGCUAGGCUCAGGCUAGAGAAGAAACAGGGAACAAACUGAUGAAAGAAUGAUCAUACCGAGGGAAUUCACUCAGAACUGAUGAAAGAAUGAUCAAACCGAGGAAAUUCACUCAGAACUAACAAUAAUGAUAACAUGCUCCGACUGGAGCGGUUUAGGAACUGCUGGAAGGCUCUAGGGGAAUAAAGAUGGAAUGACUUCUAAUUUUUAGGUCCGUAUGAUUUGAAAUACGGGCACACAAACCCCGAGAAACCGUUCCUGGAAAUCUCGGCCCGAAAAAGGACGUUUAGUAAUUCUAAAAGGGACUACAAAAUGAAAAACAAUAGUUUUGGCAGUUAAAGUUUGAGAUUCGACGGUGCCGUAGACCCGUUCGGUCAUCAGGUGUAACGAGCCACACCCAUGUCUAGCUAGAGUAGUGUGCUAGGCUCAGACUAGAGAAGAAACGGGGAACAAACUGAUGAAAGAAUGAUCAUACCGAGGGAAUUCACUCAGAACUAACAAGAAUGAUAACGUGCUCCGACUGGAGCGGUUUAGGAACUGCUAGAAGGCUCUAGGGGAAGAAAGAAGGAAUGACUUCUAAUUUUUAGGUCUGUAUGAUUUGAAAUACGUGCACACAAACCGCGCGAAAGCGUUCCUGGAAAUCUCAGCCCAAAAAAGGACGUUUAGUAUUCUAAAAGGGACUACAGAAUGAAAAACAAUAGUUUUAGCAGUUAAAGUUUGAGAUUCGACGGUGCCGUAGAUCCGUCUGGUCAUCAGGUGUUACGAGCCACACCCAUGUCUAGCUAGAAUAGUGUGCUAGGCUCAGGCUAGAGA
rnacentral:lncRNA from 1 species